rnacentral:piRNA from 1 species
UGGAGCUCUCUCCUCUUCCUCUGGGCAGUC